rfam:Schistosoma rodhaini strain Burundi genome assembly, scaffold: SROB_scaffold0002548
AGCAGUGGAGGAGUCCCAAAUAGGACGAAACGCGAGUCCUGGAU